GACGAACGCUGGCGGCGUGCUUAACACAUGCAAGUCGAACGGUAAGGCCCUUCGGGGUACACGAGUGGCGAACGGGUGAGUAACACGUGGGUGAUCUGCCCUGCACUUCGGGAUAGGCCUGGGAAACUGGGUCUAAUACCGGAUAGGACCACUGCCUGCAUGGGUGGUGGUGGAAAGCUUUUGCGGUGUGGGAUGGGCCCGCGGCCUAUCAGCGUGUUGGUGGGGUGAUGGCCUACCAAGGCGACGACGGGUAGCCGGCCUGAGAGGGUGACCGGCCACACUGGGACUGAGAUACGGCCCAGACUCCUACGGGAGGCAGCAGUGGGGAAUAUUGCACAAUGGGCGCAAGCCUGAUGCAGCGACGCCGCGUGAGGGAUGACGGCCUUCGGGUUGUAAACCUCUUUCAGCACCGACGAAGCGCAAGUGACGGUAGGUGCAGAAGAAGGACCGGCCAACUACGUGCCAGCCGCCGCAGUAACAC
rnacentral:rRNA from 1 species